UACGUAGGGUGCAAGCGUUGUCCGGAAUUAUUGGGCGUAAAGCGCGCGUAGGCGGCUACUUAAGUCGGAUGUGAAAGCCCCUGGCUCAACUGGGGAAGUGCACCCGAAACUGAGUAGCUAGAGUGCAAAAGAGGGUCGCGGAAUUCCCGGUGUAGAGGUGAAAUUCGUAGAUAUCGGGAGGAACACCGGUGGCGAAGGCGGCGACCUGGGUUGACACUGACGCUGAGGCGCGAAAGCGUGGGGAGCAAACAGG
rnacentral:rRNA from 1 species